rnacentral:rRNA from 1 species
GAUGAACGCUGGCGGCGUGCCUAAUACAUGCAAGUCGAGCGGACAGACGCGGCGCUUGCUCCUCUGACGUUAGGGGCGGACGGGUGAGUAACACGUGGAUAACCUCCCUAUAUGACUGGGAUAACUUCGGGAAACCGGAGCUAAUACCGGAUAAUAUAUUGAACCGCAUGGUUCAUUGGUGAAAGACGGUUUUGCUGUCACUUAUAGAUGGAUCCGCGCCGCAUUAGCUAGUUGGUACGGUAACGGCUUACCAAGGCAACGAUGCGUAGCCGACCUGAGAGGGGGAUCGGCCACCCUGGAGCUGAGACACGGUCCAGACGCCUACGGGAGGCAGCAGUAGGGAAUCGUCGGCAAUGGUCGAAAGCCUGACGGAGCAACGCCGCGUGAGUGAUGAAGGUCUUCGGAGCGUAAAGCUCUGUUAUUGGGGAAGAACAAAUGUGGAAUUAACUAUGCACGGCUUGACGGUACCUGGUCAGAAAGCCACGGCUAACUACGUG